rnacentral:rRNA from 1 species
CUACGGGGCGCAGCAGUGAGGAAUAUUGCGCAAUGGGGGAAACCCUGACGCAGCGACGCCGCGUGGAUGAUGAAGGCCUUAGGGUCGUAAAAUCCUGUCAGGUGGGAAGAAGUGGAUAUAGAUUAAUACUCUAUUUCUUUGACGGUACCACCAAAGGAAGCACCGGCUAACUCCGUGCCAGCAGCCGCAGUAAUACGGAGGGUGCAAACGUUGUUCGGAAUUACUGGGCGUAAAGCGCGCGUAGGCGGUUUGUUAAGUCAGAUGUGAAAGUCCAUGGCUCAACUAGGGAAGUGCAUUUGAAACUGGCAGACUUGAGUACUGGAGGGGGUGAUGGAAUUCCCGGUGUAGAGGUGAAAUUCGUAGAUAUCGGGAGGAAUACCGGUGGCGAAGGCGAUCACCUGGCCAGAUACUGACGCUGAGGUGCGAAAGCGUGGGGAGCAAACAGGAUUAGAUACCCUCGUAGUC